GGGGACGUUACGGAUUCGACAGGGAUAGUUUGAGCUUAAGUUGCGAGUCGAGGGGAUCGGCCUCGUCAAAACGUCAACGCCAAUAAUAACUGGCAAAGAAAACAAUAACUUCGCAUUAGCAGCUGCCUAAUAAGGCACUGAUGCGGUUCCUCCCUCCAUCGCCCAUGUGGUAGGGUAAGGGACUCACUCUUAGUGGGAUACGCCAAAAGCUCUCCGCCUGGGGGCCAAGGAAGAGAUUAAACAGGCUAGCGCUUUGGAAGCCCGUCGAUAGGCCGAAGAAGUCGCGAAAUAACAAUAUGUCGACUACACUCGUAGACGCUUAAGUGGCGAUAUUUCUGGACGUGGGUUCGAUUCCCACCGUCUCCACCA
rnacentral:tmRNA from 1 species